GUCUUAUUGAAAAUAAUUUUAAGUCAAUCUGCCCAUGAAUAAUUUAAUGGCUGCAGUAUAACUGACUGUACAAAGGUAGCAUAAUCAAUUGAUUUUUAAAUGAAAUCUGGAAUGAAAGAAUUAAUGAAAUAUAUACUGUCUCAUAUUUAUUUUAUGAAUUUAAAAUUUUAAUAAAAAUGUUAAAAUUUUUUUAUGGGACGAUAAGACCCUAUAGAAUUUUAUAUUAAAUUAUUUUUGUAGUUAAUAUAAAAUUUAAUUUGAUAUUUAAUUGGGAGAAUUAUUAAAUUUAAAAAAUUUUAAUAUAAAUAACCUUAAAUUAAAGAAAAAAUUUUGAUCUUUAAUUUAAAAUUAAUAGAUUAAAUUACCUUAGGGAUAACAGCGUAAUAUUUUUUUAUAGAUCUUAUAGAAAAAAAUGAUUGCGACCUCGAUGUUGAAUUAAGAUAAAUUUUAAAUGCAGGAGUUUAAUAAUUAAGUCUGUUCGACNUUUAAAAUCUUACAUGAUUUGAGUUCAAAUCGACGUAAGU
rnacentral:rRNA from 1 species